UCUCCAUGGGAACACUGUCUUGCUAAUAACACAUAAACACUUAUUCUAUAACAUAGAAUUAGGAAGUAAACAAGUAGAUCUGUUCUAUUAAAAUGGUACUGUUCAAAAAUCCAACCCCCAUUGGAAGUGGCUAACAAAAGCUACCAUGCAGUUUCAUCCUACAGCAAAUGACUUCAGUAUUAGUUGCAGCUGCUCAGCUUUUCAGUGUGUCUUUCUCGGCCUGAUGUGUCCUUUAAGAGGUAGUGACACAUAUUGCUGCACGUGUUCAGUUGCUCUACCUUUGUGCUGCAGUUCUUUACCCUGUAAAAUGUUUUCGGUACACAAAAGCAGCUGCUGAAGAAACCGCUUCAGACCGAGGGUGAGAUAAGAAUAAGAAACUCCAGUAGAGACUGAGGGAGUGAGACAGUGCAGAGACACCAAAGGAGCUUCUGUGAGAAACAAAAAUACCAGCAUUAUUGCCUGUCAUCAGAACCCCAGGUACCUUGUGUAAUAAAGAAGAAAGGAACAGGAAAGCAAGGAGAUGCAGGACAGCCUAGUGACGGACACGUUUGGGGAGGGAGGAAGAAAAGUCUCGAGCCUUCUGGAGACAUAAAUAUAUACAGGAAUAUCUACAGUCCUGAGGCAUGAAGCACUAGUAAUUCGCAAGACUAUACUGG